CCAUCUCCAAUUCCACUUCUUGUGUAUCUUUAUCUCCAUCUUCAACUACUCAGUUGCCUUUCCUCCAGAUUUGAUUUGCUGCCUUUCAAUCAUGUGUAAUCUCCUUCUAACUUGCUACGAUUGCUACUUGUUUUAAGUGCUCAUUUGCCCUUUUUUGGCCUAAUGUAAUAAAACUCCAGCUUUUAUCUUCAAAAAUAUCUUCUUGCUAACUCAUUAAUUUAGUGGUUAAAAAUGUUUCUCUUUAAACCCGGGUAGGAGGUGGCUAUGGUGUUCUUGGUGAUCAUAUGGGUGGUUGGCUUUGUGAUUACACGAUUCCGUUGGGCAUUUGUAAUUCGAUGCAACCUGAAUUUCAUGCUCUUGUUCACGGUCUCUCUUUGGCAUGGGAGUUAGGCUAUCGUCGAUUGGUUGUGGAGCUCUAUUCCAAGGCCGUCCUUCAGUUACCAUUUGCCGAGAAGGAUCAUAAUUUGCGAUUUCUGAAUCUGAUUUCUAAGUGUCAUAGUUUUUUCAAGAGACUUUGACAUGUUGUUUUGCAACAUUGCUAUAGAGAAGCUAAUGGGGUUGCUGAGGAGUUGGCUAAUGAACUAGGCAAUCAUAUCCUUGGUUAUUGAUCUAUUGCGUUGGGACUGUCAUCUUCGGUAUGAUCCGUUUGUUUAUUUUGAGCUCUCUCCCUCACCUG
rnacentral:misc_RNA from 1 species